rnacentral:misc_RNA from 1 species
GAUGAAGAACGCAGCGAAAUGCGAUAAGUAGUGUGAAUUGCAGAAUUCAGUGAAUCAUCGAAUCUUUGAACGCACAUUGCGCCUCCUGGUAUUCCGGGAGGCAUGCCUGUUCGAGCGUCAUUAAAAUCACUCAAGCUUAGGUUUACCUAUUGCUUGGUCUUGGAGAUGGAAGCCAAUUUAUUGGAAUCCUCUUCGAAAUUCAAUGGCGAAGACCCUUGCUCUCCCAAGUGUAGUAAUAACUUAUGUCACUGAAGGAAGCGAGAAAUCUUCUGCCGUAACCCCCAUAUUUUCUAUGAUUGACCUCGGAUCAGGUAGGGAUACCCGCUGAACUUAAGCAUAUCAAUAAGCGGAUGA